rnacentral:lncRNA from 1 species
GAAGGCCCGUAGACGCGCAAGCACAACUCGUCUCCUUCUUUCUUCGUGUUCUUCCUCAAAGGUGUUGCCACUAAAAAGAGUGUUAAGACGGAUGUUCGUAAGGACCAUGGAAAGGAAGUCUCUUCUGGGAAUGAAGACAGGCUUUUCUUCAAUGGAAGAGUGCUUCCUCCUUAGGUCUCUGUUCACUUGUUUCUUCUGGAUCAGGUAAACGUCCGGCGGUUUAUCGGCUGCUGCGGGUUACUCCGUGGGUUACAAACCACUGUGAUGAGGUCUUCCGUUUGCCCGAUUUUGUUGUUUGAAGGGCAGCCCAUUGCCACAGCUUUUGAGAAUGCGUCACUUUCCACAUGGGGAGAGGUUCCAGAC